ACUCGGGAAUCAGGCGGGCUGGCUGCGGGCUGCGGCGCUCGGACCCCGCCUCGGCCUGGGCCUCCCCGCGGGGAGGAUGAGCUGCGGACGGGAGGAGGGGCAGGGCUCCAGAAAACGGGGACUGAGCUAGGGAGGGGAGGGCCGGCCCGCGCAGACCAGGGGCCCACCGGGGUGCGGGGAGUGGGGGGUGGUGCCCCUGAACUUGGCCGCCCCGGAGGCUUGUGGUCUUUCCACCGCAGGCUGGUCCGGGGAGGCGCGGGGCGGGCGGCUGUUUCUCCUGCAAGGGCCAGCAGCCCGGUCGCCCGCCGGGGCCCUCGCCGGCCCCUCCCCGAGACCUCGAACGUUCCAGAGCCCGGGGAACCCUCACAUCAGCUAGAUUGCCUCACAGCCUCUCAGAUGAACCGGAGGACCAUGUCUUUGCAGUAUCUUCUCCAGGCCAAGCAAAGAGAAGAGACAGCUUGUGCUUAAAAAACCCAAACUUGGAAAUACCAUUACUAGCUCCAUUUUGCAGAUAAGGAAUCUAAGCUGAGAGAUGGUGGAGCUGGGGUGUGAAUCCAGGCUGUCUUGAGUGCAGAAUGCGAGCUCUUGACCUCACUCUCUAAAGGUAUACUUGCACAACAUUGUAACUCAACUGUACUUCAAUAAAAAGUAAAAUCAAAUUAAAAAAAAUAAAAGGUAUACUUCACAGUGAAGGGGUUUAAUUCUUAUGUGUUAAAUAACAACAAAGAUCCAUGCAAUCAAAUAUUUCAUAAUACAAGAAGAAACAUGAGAAACACUUUUAUUGGAAAUAUCCUAACACCUUUUCCAAACAAAUAAUCAAAAAAUAAAUAACGACAUAAAAGAUAUGAACAUAUAAAUUUUUGACCCUGAAAACAGUGUACCUUCAUUUCAAGUUUCAUGGACAGUGAUAAAAUUCAAUAAAUAUUAAGCUACAGAGAAUAUUUUGGUAAAUUUUGAAAAGUGGGAAUUCUAGAAGUCAGUCUCGGAUCAAAAUGCAGUAGAACUAACAACAACAUAAAACACACCACUCAGAAAUUGAAAAACAUAAAUAACAUCUCAAAGUACCCUUAGGACAAGAAGUAAAUCAAGGAUAAAAAGCAACCUAUUUAGAAAAUAAUAAUAAUUUUUAAAAAAGGAUACAGUCAGAGCUAUCUGCAGAGGCAUAAUUAAUAGCAUUAAAUACUUUUAGUGUCAAAAAGAGAAAAAUAAAACAAAUGAAUUAAGCAUGCAAGUUGAGAUUUUGGAAAAGAGUAUAAAACACUCCCCCACCCCCAAAAUGGGAAAGGAAAUAUUUGAAAUAGAAAACAGAAAAAAUGAAUAUGCCCAGAAGCCUGAGUAGGAGAGAUGUGCCUCCUGACCUGUGGACAGAGAAGUAUGUUGCUGUGCUCCACGUGAACUUGGUCCUCUGACGUGUGUCCUCAGACCUCCCCUGCUUCUCGCUGUCCCACUCUGCCCGAUAUACUCAUCUGCUCCCGAGGCCUCAGCUCCCUUCAGCCCCUUUCUCUGUGUCAGCACGCUUCUUGUACGCGCUGUGCCUCUACGGCAGCAUCUACCCGUGCCCUACAAUAAAUUCUCUCCACUUGUGGCUCCCUUUCUAGCAGAGGUGACGUCUUCAGAACAGGAACCAUGUCCUCCUCAUCGUCGUCGUAGCCUUGGGCCUGGGAUGUGGUGGGUCUUGCUGAAUGGAAGAAUGAGUGGGUGGGCUCAAGCACUGAUUCCUCAGUUGCAUUUGGUCCCAAGUUGCUUCUGUCCCCAGUGCCCAGCCCCAAGCCCCAAGCCAAUGUCACGAGGCCUGGUAUGAAUUAUUCCAACAGUCAGAGAACUAACAACGGAGGAUCUGCCUAACAGGAUGUUUAUGCAACCAAUAACGACUGUGUUGACAAUGUCAAUAAAAUAUGAGGACGCAGGUCUUUGAUUUUUUUUAUUUCCUCUUUUCCACAGACUAAUCCUCUACACUCAAGGCCUGAUUCAAAUGCCACCUUCUCAGGGGACCUUUCCUGAUUUCUCCAACUAGAAACAAUCUUGCCUUUCCUGGGCUUCCAGAGCAUCUGCCGCUCCCUCUGGCCUCUU